rnacentral:rRNA from 1 species
UACGUAGGGGGCAAGCGUUGUCCGGAAUCAUUGGGCGUAAAGAGCGUGUAGGCGGCCCGGUAAGUCCGCUGUAAAAGUCAAAGGCUCAACCUUUGAAUGUCAGUGGAUACUGCCGGUCUAGAGUCCGGAAGAGGCGAGUGGAACUCCUGGUGUAGCGGUGGAAUGCGCAGAUAUCAGGAAGAACACCAACGGCGAAGGCAGCUCGCUGGGACGGUACUGACGCUGAGACGCGAAAGCGUGGGGAGCGAACAGG